rnacentral:rRNA from 1 species
AUUGAACGCUGGCGGCAUGCCUAACACAUGCAAGUCGAACGGCAGCACAGGUAGCAAUACCGGGUGGCGAGUGGCGGACGGGUGAGUAAUGCAUCGGGAUCUACCCAAACGUGGGGGAUAACGUAGGGAAACUUACGCUAAUACCGCAUACGUCCCAUGGGAGAAAGCGGGGGCUCGCAAGACCUCGCGCGGUUGGACGAACCGAUGUGCGAUUAGCUAGUUGGCGGGGUAAUGGCCCACCAAGGCGACGAUCGCUAGCUGGUCUGAGAGGAUGAUCAGCCACACUGGGACUGAGACACGGCCCAG